GCGGAGCGGGGCGGAACAGCGUGUGCUCAGUACGCAGGGUUUGCUUAUCGGCUUUGUACGGCGUUAAAGAAGAGGUUUGAACCGACAGCCGGGCGGCCAGACGAGAGGGGUGUUCUGCCUGGCCGAGGGGGAGGAGGAGGAGGAGGGGGAGACUGGAGGAUGGGUGGGGGAGACGCGGGUACCUAAAUGUUUCCAUCCGAGCGAGUUAUAUAAAGUUAGCGUGGGUGUUACGUAACCGUCCCGGCGCUGCCGCGGUGUAGAAGUAGAAAACGAAGCAGAAAAUAAAUAAAAUCGUGAAACGUGCGGGUCACGCGAAAGCUAGGAGGGUGCAGGUCGGGGACGACGGGCCGCGGGUAAGGCGGGAUGAGCCUGGGGAAACUCCGCGUCCAGCGCCUUCCACGAGCGAGUCUCCCGGUAGCAAAUGUAAAGCCCUCCUGUGUGAGCCGGCCUGUUCACACAGUAGGCUGGCAGCAGUAUUUCUGCACGGCGCGGGACCCAGACACAAAGAUCUAUCUCUUGGCAAACGAAAGAAAAGAAACAAGCAGUGAAAAUUUGUAAAUCAACUUUAUUCAUCGACGACCAUGGUUUAGGCAUCGGCAAUAGUAACUUCAACUUCUACGCCUGGUUCGAUGCUGAUGGAAGUGAUCUGCUUCACGAUCUCCGAAGGGCUGUGCAGGUCAAUGAGCCGCUUAUGGAUACGCAUUUGGAAGCG